AAGAUUCCAGUGGGAGAAGCAAGUACCUUUACAAAAGCAAAUUGUUUACCUCAGAGUUGGGUGUCACAGAACAUGUUGAAGGAGACCCUUGCAAAUUUGCAUUGUGGGUGGGGAGAACACCAACUUCAGAUAAUAAAAUUGUCCUUAAGGCUUCCAGUAUAGAGAACAAGCAGGACUGGAUAAAGCAUAUCCGCGAAGUCAUCCAGGAGCGGACAAUCCACCUGAAGGGAGCCCUGAAGGAGCCUAUUCACAUCCCCAAGACCACUCCCGCCACAAGACAGAAGGGAAGGAGGGAUGGAGAGGAUCUGGACAGCCAAGGAGAUGGCAGCAGCCAGCCUGAUACGAUUUCCAUCGCCUCACGGACGUCUCAGAACACGCUUGACAGCGAUAAGCUCUCUGGCGGCUGUGAGCUGACAGUGGUGAUCCACGACUUCACCGCUUGCAACAGCAACGAGCUGACCAUCCGACGGGGCCAGACCGUGGAAGUUCUAGAGCGGCCGCAUGACAAGCCUGACUGGUGUCUGGUGCGGACCACUGACCGCUCCCCGGCGGCAGAAGGCCUGGUCCCCUGUGGCUCACUGUGCAUCGCCCACUCCAGAAGUAGCAUGGAAAUGGAGGGCAUCUUCAACCACAAAGGUAGGAAUCAGUGGGGCGUGGGCAGCAGACGCCUACUGGAAGUGGCCCUGGAGUGCUCUGUCUCCGCGCCUCUGCCGCCUGUUAAUGUACAUGAGCUUCCUUGUCAGCUGUGCCUUCAGCACAUGGUCACUGACUCUCCAGGCAUUUCCAGUCCAUCAGCACCUG
rnacentral:sRNA from 1 species